CUGGUGCCAGCAGCCGCGGUAAUCCAGCUCCAAUAGCGUAUAUUAAAGUUGUUGCAGUUAAAAGCUCGUAGUUGAAUUUCGGGGUUAGUAGGUUGGUCAUGCCUCUGGUAUGUACUGGUCUCACUGAUUCCUCCUUCCUGAUGAACUGUAAUGCCAUUAAUUUGGUGUUGCGGGAAUUUGGACUGUUACUUUGAAAAAAUUAGAGUGUUUAAAGCAAGCUAACGCUUGAAUACAUUAGCAUGGAAUAAUGAAAUAGGACGUUCGAUCCUAUUUUGUUGGUUUCUAGGGAUUGACGUAAUGAUUAAUAGGGAUAGUUGGGGGCAUUAGUAUUCAAUUGUCAGAGGUGAAAUUCUUGGAUUUAUUGAAGACUAACUACUGCGAAAGCAUUUGCCAAGGAUGUUUUCAUUAAUCAAGAACGAAAGUUAGGGGAUCGAAGACGAUCAGAUACCGUCGUAGUCUUAACCAUAAACUAUGCCGACUAGGGAUCGAAUGAUGUUAAUUUUUUAAUGACUCAUUCGGCGCCUUACG
rnacentral:rRNA from 1 species